AGCAGCCGCGGUAAUUCCAGCUCCAAUAGCGUAUAUUAAAGUUGUUGCAGUUAAAAAGCUCGUAGUUGAAUUUCGGGAUCAAUACGUCGGUCGUGCUUAGGUACGUACUGGCGUAAUUGAUUUCUCCCUUCUGACGAACCAUGAUGUCAUUAACUUGGUGUCAUGGGAAAUCAGGACUGUUAACUUUGAAAAAAUUAGAGUGUUUAAAGCAGGCUCACGCUUGAAUACAUUAGCAUGGAAUAAUGAAAUAGGACGUUCGAUCCUAUUUUGUUGGUUUUAGGAUCAACGUAAUGAUUAAUAGGGAUAGUUGGGGGCAUUAGUAUUCAAUUGUCAGAGGUGAAAUUCUUGGAUUUAUUGAAGACUAACUACUGCGAAAGCAUUUGCCAAGGAUGUUUUCAUUAAUCAAGAACGAAAGUUAGGGGAUCGAAGACGAUCAGAUACCGUCGUAAGUCUUAACCAUAAACUAUGCCGACUAGGGAUCGGAUGAUGUUAAUUUUUAAUGACUCAUUCGGCGCCUUAA
rnacentral:rRNA from 1 species